UACAGAAUUGUUUGUCUCUUUGACUCAGUUCUGUUCCUCUCUGUCUAGAGGUUCCCCUAUUGACCAGCUGCUCCAGUGUCCCAGCUGUUUCCUGCCUGCUCGCCUGCCAGCCAGCCUUAGUAAGUAAGUAAAGCAACAUUCCUUGGCUUAAUUCCCGGCUCUCCAGCCCCAGGAGGGCCUGUGAAAUGGAGAGCAGAGGGCAGAACCUCUAGGAACCACCAGCAAACCUGCAGUCUGGGAGUGAAGUGCUCUGUUGGGAACAUCUGGAACUCUGAUCUUUAAAAUCCAGUGGAUCUUGGUCACUAAGAGGAAUUUUAAAUCCUAGUUUGUAACAGGAAGACGAUGAAGAGAAGAUCAAACUGGAGAAACCUGAUCUCUGAUGGUAAUUCUCAUCAGCAUGUUGGAUCAGAUGGAGACUUUUCAGAACAUUUCUGAGACAGAACAAUAAUCAGGAAUUAGAGUCGUCCAAUCUGGAAGGAACAAAUUUAUGGGCUAGUUUCUCUGCUUCACUCUGAGACAGGAUGCUCCUCAUUCUGGGAAUAUUACGAUGGAAGAAGGAGCUGGUGGGGUUUUACAGUUUGUCUCAGUCGCUUUGAUGCAUUUCUUACAUCAGAAUUUACAUUCUCAUAACUAUUUGUUCAAACUCCAAAACAAUUAGUCAUGUGUGCACAUCGGAGUAGCAUUUCUCAUCGCAUUGAUCCCACUGCAAAUGCAUGUGGACAUGAAGCAUUUGCUUUCAUACAAUUCUCUGCAAUUUCAUGACAUUAUUGUUUGCUUUGGUCAUAUCAGUCAAAAUUAACUAUACUUACAACUGCAGAAUAGUCAAACCCCAUAAAACUAAUAGUCCUCAUUUCAUUGCUUGAGUCAUUACACACACACAGUUGUCAAAAUCUGUCAAGCAGAAACAUUUCUUUGUAAUAUUUUCCUGGAAUGUCUCCUAAAUUAAAGAAGUGAUUUCAGCUGAUCGUUAGUUUCACUAAAUCCAAUAGAGGAGUUUACAAACCUGAGCAAAACAAAAACUUUACUUUUUGGUAAUCACAGAACUAAUCUAAUUUACAGAUACAGCUGGAUGGAGUUGAAAGAGCAACAGAAAUACAAUUUUAGGGGUGCUGAUAGAUGAAAAAUCUGUUGGAGUUCACAAAGUAAACAUGUACAAACCAAAAUUUUGAGAUUCAUCGCUGUAUUAAAGCAUAAGAGGCACCAAAUCAUAAAUCACUGCAUACUGUACUGUUCAUUAGUUCUUCCACGUCUCAUUUACCGUGCAGAAGUCUGGGGUAAUAACUACAUGAGCACAAUACGGAUCAUUCACGGGGCAGUAGACGGAAACACAUGGAGCGGGGUGAAAACGUAUAACUACAACAAGGAAAACCUUCUCUUUCAGUUUGUGGGUUAAAUUGAGGAACAGUUGGAGGGGACGUGCAGGGAAUGUCCAAAUAUUUAUAAAGACAUUAUUUUUACAAGGUACAGAAAUGAAGAGGGAAUCUGAUUAUCACUGGGUGUUUACUGUUUAAAGAUUUGUUAUUAAUGUUUUUUAGUGUAAUCUUCAACUCCUUCAAGUAACUAACUAACUAACUAACCAACUAACUUAGUUGUCCAGUGCUCCUCCAGGUGUUUCUGCUUUGUGCUUUUCCAGCCUUUUGUUGCUCCUGUUCCAGCUUUUUCCAGACGUGUUGCUGCAUCAGA